GGCUCGGUGGCAGAGUGGUAAAAUGCAUCCGCUUCUUUUAAGGAAAGACCCUGAUUGUUUGCGGAGGUCGCCUGUUCGAACCAGGCCCGAGCCA